UACGUAGGUGGCGAGCGUUGUCCGGAAUUAUUGGGCGUAAAGGGCUCGUAGGCGGUUUGUCGCGUCGGGAGUGAAAACCUCGGGCUUAACUCGGGGCUUGCUUUCGAUACGGGCAGACUAGAGGUAUGCAGGGGAGAACGGAAUUCCUGGUGUAGCGGUGAAAUGCGCAGAUAUCAGGAGGAACACCGGUGGCGAAGGCGGUUCUCUGGGCAUGAUCUGACGCUGAGGAGCGAAAGUGUGGGGAGCGAACAGG
rnacentral:rRNA from 1 species